GGCGACAUAGCCAAGUGGUAAGGCAGUGGUCUGCAAAACCGCGAUCCGCGGGUUCGAAUCCCGCUGUCGCCUCCA
rnacentral:tRNA from 1 species